AUACGGAGGAUCCGAGCGUUAUCCGGAUUUAUUGGGUUUAAAGGGUGCGCAGGCGGCCAUUUAAGUCAGCGGUUAAAUCGUGGGGCUCAACCCCAUUCUGCCGUUGAUACUGGGUGGCUUGAUUGCGGUCGAGGUUGGCGGAAUUCGUUGUGUAGCGGUGAAAUGCAUAGAUAUGACGAAGAACACCGAUUGCGUAGGCAGCUGACCAGACCGCAAAUGACGCUCAUGCACGAAAGUGCGGGGAUCGAACAGGAUUAGAUACCCUGGUCGUGCGCGCAGUAAACGAUGAAUACUUGUUUUCGGGGAUAUAAUGUCGGAGGCAAUGCGAAAGCGAUAAGUAUACCACCCGGGGAGUACACCUGCAACGGUGAAACUCAAAUGAAUUGCCGGGG
rnacentral:rRNA from 1 species